CCCAUUAUCAUAAAUUAGUGAGUGUUUUAGUUGAAAAGAAAAUAUAUUUAUAUAAGAGAAAAUGGGCUAAAGCCCAUAUUAAUUAGAAAGAGGAAAGGAAUGGGCAAUGCCCAUAUACCUGGCCCAAACCAAAUAAGAAAGGGAUUAAAAGAAUUGGGGAUUUGAGGGGAAUAGGUGGGUUUAUAAGGCCUCCCCUUCAUGCUGCAACUAGGCAGCAACAACAACAACGUGCAAAACGCACCUGUAGCAGCAAACAACAACAGCAAAAAAAAAAAAAAAAAAAACUCGUCCUUUUGGCUAAAGAAGAAGAAAAAAAAAAGAAAAUUCUUUGAGAAAUUCUAUUGGUUUCAAGAGAAUGCAGGUGACGGCGAGAAUUACGUUAGCUAGAGAGUUCGAGGUAGCAUUUUCCUAGUGAGCCCCGCAUUUGUUCGCUUGGGCAGGAGUUUAUUUAUUUGUUAUGUUCUAUUUCUUGCAAACUCUUAGAGUCGCUCCAUAGUCAUGUCUUUAGAGCUUUGAGUAUUCUUUCAUUAUUUUGGAUUUGUGGAGUAUUUGAACUCCCUCUCAUGUUUUGGAUAUGGAUUUUAUGUUGUUAUUGGGUGGUGUUGGUGACUUGUUGAUGGUUUGUGAUGGAUUGUGUUAGUGU